rnacentral:tRNA from 1 species
CAAGUUAGAGCUUGAUUAAAAAGCAUUUCAUUUACAUUGAAAAGUUAUUGUGUAAUUCAUUUAAUUUGA